GACGAACCGAGCGAACGUUAUUCGGAAUCACUGGGCUUAAAGGGCGCGUAGGCGGGCGAUCAAGUCAGGGGUGAAAGCCCCCAGCUCAACUGGGGAAGUGCCUCUGAUACUGGUCGCCUCGAGGGAGGUAGGGGCGUGCGGAACUUCCGGUGGAGCGGUGAAAUGCGUAGAUAUCGGAAGGAACAUCGGUGGCGAAAGCGGCGCGCUGGACCUCUCCUGACGCUGAGGCGCGAAAGCCAGGGGAGCGAACGGG
rnacentral:rRNA from 1 species